CUGGUUGUAGGUACUAGGGUUGAUCUCUCGAAAUUUGAAAGGACCUGAAUUCUUCUGCGAGUAACUACUAGGUGCAGGCUUAGGAGAAGUGUAUUCAUCUAUUAGGAACUUUAGAUUUUCUAUCGACUUGUUGACGAGAUGAGGUCCUAGCAGUUGAGAACCGACUUGCUCAAAUAUUUGAAUCAUUUUCUGGAUUUGGAAAAUUUCUUCCGUUGAUACAUUACAAGCAAAAUGUACGGAUCUCAAUGUUGAAAUCACUGAUU
rnacentral:misc_RNA from 1 species